UUUAUAAAGUAUAUUAAUUAAUAAAAAAAUCUCCCAGAAGAAUAUAAAUAAUGAUUGGCAUAUAUUGAUUAUCAAGUCAUUUAAUUUUUGGGGACAUGCUCUUUUGGUUAAUCUCUUUGAAUUGUCAUGAUUAAGUGUCUUAAAUAAAUGUAGAGGAGUUUAUAUAGUCUGGCGGCAGCUAAUUUGCUUAGUAUAUGCGUUACCAUUAUAAAUAAUUGCUUAAUUCGUAUUGUUACAGGCC
rnacentral:lncRNA from 1 species